rnacentral:rRNA from 1 species
AAUAGAUACCCUGGUAGUCCACCCCGUAAACGUUGGGAACUAGUUGUGGGGUCCAUUCCACGGAUUCCGUGACGCAGCUAACGCAUUAAGUUCCCCGCCUGGGGAGUACGGCCGCAAGGCUAAAACUCAAAGGAAUUGACGGGGACCCGCACAAGCGGCGGAGCAUGCGGAUUAAUUCGAUGCAACGCGAAGAACCUUACCAAGGCUUGACAUACACGAGAACACCCUGGAAACAGGGGACUCUUUGGACACUCGUGAACAGGUGGUGCAUGGUUGUCGUCAGCUCGUGUCGUGAGAUGUUGGGUUAAGUCCCGCAACGAGCGCAACCCUCGUUCUAUGUUGCCAGCACGUAAUGGUGGGAACUCAUGGGAUACUGCCGGGGUCAACUCGGAGGAAGGUGGGGAUGACGUCAAAUCAUCAUGCCCCUUAUGUCUUGGGCUUCACGCAUGCUACAAUGGCCGGUACAAAGGGCUGCAAUACCGUGAGGUGGAGCGAAUCCCAAAAAAGCCGGUCCCAGUUCGGAUUGAGGUCUGCAACUCGA